AACGAACGCUGGCGGCAUGCCUAACACAUGCAAGUCGAACGAGACCUUCGGGUCUAGUGGCGCACGGGUGCGUAACGCGUGGGAAUCUGCCCUUGGGUUCGGAAUAACUUCGGGAAACUGAAGCUAAUACCGGAUGAUGACGUAAGUCCAAAGAUUUAUCGCCCAAGGAUGAGCCCGCGUAGGAUUAGCUAGUUGGUGAGGUAAAGGCUCACCAAGGCGACGAUCCUUAGCUGGUCUGAGAGGAUGAUCAGCCACACUGGGACUGAGACACGGCCCAGACUCCUACGGGAGGCAGCAGUGGGGAAUAUUGGACAAUGGGCGAAAGCCUGAUCCAGCAAUGCCGCGUGAGUGAUGAAGGCCUUAGGGUUGUAAAGCUCUUUUACCAGGGAUGAUAAUGACAGUACCUGGAGAAUAAGCUCCGGCUAACUCCGUGCCAGCAGCCGUCGGUAAAGUGACUACUG
rnacentral:rRNA from 1 species